CCUACGGGUGGCAGCAGUGAGGAAUAUUGGUCAAUGGGCUGACGCCUGAACCAGCCAAGUAGCGUGCAGGAUGACUGCCCUACGGGUUGUAAACUUCUUUUAUACGGGAAUAACGCGCGUUACGUGUAGCGGUUUGCAUGUACCCUAUGAAUAAGGAACGGCUAAUUCCGUGCCAGCAGCCGCGGUAAUACGGAAGGUCCGGGCGUUAUCCGGAUUUAUUGGGGUUAAAGGGAGCGUAGGGCGGAUGUCAAGCGUGCUGUGAAAUGUCCGGGCUCAACCCUGGCCUUGCAGCUGAAACUGGCGUUCUUGAGUGCGCGGAAAGUAGGCGGAAUUCGUGGUGUAGCGGUGAAAUGCUUAGAUAUGACGAAGAACCCCGAUUGCGAAGGCAGCUUGCUGCAGCGGAACUGACGCUGAUGCUCGAAAGCGCGGGUAUCGAACAGGAUUAGAUACCCGGGUAGUC
rnacentral:rRNA from 1 species